UGGAGGAUUCGGCCUUCUCAUCUACCAUUGUCCCAAGCAGCACAGCAGGGGGCGCUGACCGGGGGUCGAGGACGACUCUGGAGAGUGGCCACCUCGGGCUGUUGGUUUGCUCGAGCUCCGGGUCACCUCAAUCGACCGGGACGGCUACACCCCCUCUAUAGAGAACUCCAAACGACACGGAGGCAAGACGGUACCAGAAGAGGGGAGUCCACCUGCCGGACGCGGCCACUCCGGACGCGGUCAAGAAUCAGCGCAGACUAUGCUAAAUGCAAAGAAAAACUGCUUUCAGCCCCAGCU